rnacentral:lncRNA from 1 species
CCAUGUCACUCAAUAUGCUGAACGUCGAUGGUCCAAGGGCUGCCAGGAUGCAGCUCUCAACCCAGCACCUGAAUGAGGCCUCUCGGACCCUCAGCGCCAGCACGCAGGAUUUGAGCCCGCGCUAAGUGGACUGGCUGCAGUGGUCACAGCUUCUCAGGGAUCAGGAAGGGUGGGUGGGUGGUCUCCCUGCACCCUGCCUGGGCAGCAUGUGAGGAUGGGGAGGGACCCUGUGAUCCUCCCUGCAAUUAAAGGCUGUGCACUGGCA